rnacentral:misc_RNA from 1 species
GAUGAAGAACGUAGCGAAAUGCGAUACGUAGUAUGAAUUGCAGAAUUCAGUGAAUCAUCGAAUCUUUGAACGCACAUUGCACCUCUCGGUAUUCCGGGAGGUAUGCCUGUUCGAGCGUCAUUUGUACCCUCAAGCUCUGCUUGGUGUUGGGUGUUUGUUCCGCCUCUGUGUGUGAACUCGCCUCAAAACAAUUGGCAGCCGGCGUACUUGUUUCGGAGCGCAGCACAUUUUGCGAUCCAGAUCAACGUACAGCGGCAUCCAAGAAGCCUUAUUUAACGCUCUUGACCUCGGAUCAGGUAGGGAUACCCGCUGAACUUAAGCAUAUCAAUAAGCGGAGGA